rnacentral:RNase_P_RNA from 2 species
GCGGAGGGACGGAUGGCCGCUUGGGCCGCAAGGCCCGGGAGGAAAGUCCGGACUCCACAAGGUAAGGGUGCCGGGUAACGCCCGGCGGGGGCAACCCCAGGGAAAGCGCCACAGAAAACAAACCGCCCCUGUCCGCAGGGGUAAGGGUGAAACGGUGGGGUAAGAGCCCACCGCGGGACUGGUAACAGGACCGGCACGGCAAGCCCCACCCGGAGCAAUGCCGAAUAGGGGCCUCGCGCGGGCAUGAUCCGGUUCGCCGGAUAUCACCGCAGGGUCUGCCUUGACCCAGAGGCCCGGGUUGGCAGCUAUAGGCGGAUCGGUAACGGUUCGUUCAGAGGAAUGGUCAUCUCGGGCGGGGCAACCCGCCUAUGACAGAAUCCGGCUUACAGGCCCUCCGCGCAU